UUCCGGUUGAUCCCGCCGGACCCGACUGCUAUCAGAAUAGGACUAAGCCAUGCGAGUCAACGUAGCAAUACGUGGCAUACGGCUCAGUAACACGUAGUCAACAUGCCCAGAGGACGUGGAUAACCUCGGGAAACUGAGGAUAAACCGCGAUAGGUCAUAAUAUCUGGAAUGAUUUAUGGUUUAAAUCUAUAUGGCCUCUGGAUUGGACUGCGGCCGAUCAGGCUGUUGGUGAGGUAAUGGCCCACCAAACCUGAAAUCGGUACGGGCUCUGAGAGGAGAAGCCCGGAGAUGGGCACUGAGACAAGGGCCCAGGCCCUAUGGGGCGCAGCAGGCGCGAAAACUCUGCAAUAAGCGAAAGCUUGACAGGGUUAUUCUGAGUGAUUUCCGCUAAGGAAAUCUUUUGGCACCUCUAAAAAUGGUGUAGAAUAAGGGGUGGGCAAGCCUGGUGUCAGCCGCCGCGGUAAUACCAGCACCCCGAGUGGUCGGGACGAUUAUUGGGCCUAAAGCAUCCGUAGCCGGUUCUACAAGUCUUCCGUUAAAUCCACCUGCUUAACAGAUGGGCUGCGGAGGAUACUAUAGAGCUAGGAGGCGGGAGAGGCAAGCGGUACUUAGUGGGUAGGGGUAAAAUCCGUUGAUCCAUUGAAGACCACCAGUGGCGAAGGCGGCUUGCCAGAACGCACUCGACGGUGAGGGAUGAAAGCUGGGGGAGCAAACCGGAUUAGAUACCCGGGUAGUCCCAGCUGUAAACGAUGCAGACUCGGUGAUGAAUAGGCUUCGUGCCUAUUCAGUGCCGCAGGGAAGCCGUUAAGUCUGCCGCCUGGGGAGUACGGUCGCAAGACUGAAACUUAAAGGAAUUGGCGGGGGAGCACCACAAGGGGUGAAGCCUGCGGUUCAAUUGGAGUCAACGCCGGG
rnacentral:rRNA from 1 species